AGUAGUUUGAUCCGUGGCUCAGGACGAACGCUGGCGGCGUGCCUAACACAUGCAAGUCGAACGGGGAUUUUGUUUCGGCAGAAUCCUAGUGGCGAACGGGUGAGUAACGCGUGGGUAACCUGCCUUGUACAGGGGGAUAACAGUUAGAAAUGACUGCUAAUACCGCAUAAGCGCACAGUACUGCAUGGUACAGUGUGAAAAACUCCGGUGGUACAAGAUGGACCCGCGUCUGAUUAGCCAGUUGGCAGGGUAACGGCCUACCAAAGCAACGAUCAGUAGCCGACUUGAGAGAGUGAUCGGCCACAUUGGGACUGAGACACGGCCCAGACUCC
rnacentral:rRNA from 1 species